UUUCCGUAGGUGAACCUGCGGAAGGAUCAUUCAUAAUAAAGUGUUUUAUGGCACUUUUUAAAAAUCCAUAUCCACCUUGUGUGCAAUGUUGGAUCUCGUCAAUCUUGGCGAGAUUUUUAUACAUCAACUCAUUCUUUAACUAAUUUGUCUGAAAAAUAUUAUGAAUACUUAAUUCAAAAUACAACUUUCAACAACGGAUCUCUUGGCUCUC
rnacentral:misc_RNA from 1 species